UUCCAGACUCCUACGGGAGGCAGCAGUGGGGAAUAUUGCACAAUGGGGGAAACCCUGAUGCAGCGACGCCGCGUGAGUGAAGAAGUAUUUCGGUAUGUAAAGCUCUAUCAGCAGGGAAGAAAAUGACGGUACCUGACCAAGAAGCCCCGGCUAACUACGUGCCAGCAGCCGCGGUAAUACGUAGGGGGCAAGCGUUAUCCGGAUUUACUGGGUGUAAAGGGAGCGUAGACGGUGAUGCAAGUCAGAAGUGAAAGCCCGGGGCUCAACUCCGGGACUGCUUUUGAAACUGUGUAACUGGAGUGCAGGAGAGGUAAGCGGAAUUCCUAGUGUAGCGGUGAAAUGCGUAGAUAUUAGGAGGAACACCAGUGGCGAAGGCGGCUUACUGGACUGUAACUGACGUUGAGGCUCGAAAGCGUGGGGAGCAAACAGGAUUAGAUACCCUGGUACCA
rnacentral:rRNA from 1 species